CUCAGAUUGAACGCUGGCGGCAGGCCUAACACAUGCAAGUCGAACGGUAACAGGAAACAGCUUGCUGUUUCGCUGACGAGUGGCGGACGGGUGAGUAAUGUCUGGGAAACUGCCUGAUGGAGGGGGAUAACUACUGGAAACGGUAGCUAAUACCGCAUAACGUCGCAAGACCAAAGAGGGGGACCUUCGGGCCUCUUGCCAUCGGAUGUGCCCAGAUGGGAUUAGCUAGUAGGUGGGGUAACGGCUCACCUAGGCGACGAUCCCUAGCUGGUCUGAGAGGAUGACCAGCCACACUGGAACUGAGACACGGUCCAGACUCCUACGGGAGGCAGCAGUGGGGAAUAUUGCACAAUGGGCGCAAGCCUGAUGCAGCCAUGCCGCGUGUAUGAAGAAGGCCUUCGGGUUGUAAAGUACUUUCAGCGGGGAGGAAGGGAGUAAAGUUAAUACCUUUGCUCAUUGACGUUACCCGCAGAAGAAGCACCGGCUAACUCCGUGCCAGCAGCCGCGGUAAUACGGAGGGUGCAAGCGUUAAUCGGAAUUACUGGGCGUAAAGCGCACGCAGGCGGUUUGUUAAGUCAGAUGUGAAAUCCCCGGGCUCAACCUGGGAACUGCAUCUGAUACUGGCAAGCUUGAGUCUCGUAGAGGGGGGUAGAAUUCCAGGUGUAGCGGUGAAAUGCGUAGAGAUCUGGAGGAAUACCGGUGGCGAAGGCGGCCCCCUGGACGAAGACUGACGCUCAGGUGCGAAAGCGUGGGGAGCAAACAGGAUUAGAUACCCUGGUAGUCCACGCCGUAAACGAUGUCGACUUGGAGGUUGUGCCCUUGAGGCGUGGCUUCCGGAGCUAACGCGUUAAGUCGACCGCCUGGGGAGUACGGCCGCAAGGUUAAAACUCAAAUGAAUUGACGGGGGCCCGCACAAGCGGUGGAGCAUGUGGUUUAAUUCGAUGCAACGCGAAGAACCUUACCUGGUCUUGACAUCCACGGAAGUUUUCAGAGAUGAGAAUGUGCCUUCGGGAACCGUGAGACAGGUGCUGCAUGGCUGUCGUCAGCUCGUGUUGUGAAAUGUUGGGUUAAGUCCCGCAACGAGCGCAACCCUUAUCCUUUGUUGCCAGCGGUCCGGCCGGGAACUCAAAGGAGACUGCCAGUGAUAAACUGGAGGAAGGUGGGGAUGACGUCAAGCCAUCAUGGCCCUUACGACCAGGGCUACACACGUGCUACAAUGGCGCAUACAAAGAGAAGCGACAUGUCGUGACCA
rnacentral:rRNA from 1 species